GAGUUUGAUCGUGGCUCAGAUUGGACGCUGGCGGCAUGCCUUACACAUGCAAGUCGAACGGCAGCAUGAUCUAGCUUGCUAGAUUGAUGGCGAGUGGCGAACGGGUGAGUAAGUACAUCGGAACGUGCCCUGUAGUGGGGAUAACUAGUCGAAAGAUUAGCUAAUACCGCAUACGACCUGAGGGUGAAAGUGGGGGACCGCAAGGCCUCAUGCUAUAGGAGCGGCCGAUGUCUGAUUAGCUAGUUGGUGGGGUAAAGGCCCACCAAGGCGACGAUCAGUAGCUGGUCUGAGAGGACGAUCAGCCACACUGGGACUGAGACACGGCCCAGACUCCUACGGGAGGCAGCG
rnacentral:rRNA from 1 species